AACGCGAAGAACCUUACCUGGGCUUGAACUACUCGUGGUAGUUCGCUGGAAACAGUGGACGACCCGCAAGGGAGCGAGCAGAGGUGCUGCAUGGUUGUCGUCAGCUCGUGUCGUGAGAUGUUGGGUUAAGUCCCGCAACGAGCGCAACCCCUAUCCAAUGUUGCCACUCCCGCAAGGGAAGCACUCUUUGGAAACUGCCUUCGAUAAGAAGGAGGAAGGUGGGGACGACGUCAAAUCCUCAUGGCCCUUAUGUCCAGGGCUACACACGUGUUACAAUGGCCGGUACAAUGGGAAGCAAUGCCGCAAGGUGGAGCCAAACCCACAAAGCCGGCCCCAGUUCAGAUUGUGGGCUGCAACUCGCCCACAUGAAGGCGGAAUCGCUAGUAAUCGCUGAUCAGCAGGCAGCGGUGAAUACGUUCCCGGGCCUUGUA
rnacentral:rRNA from 1 species